GGCUUACGCUGGCGGCGUGCCUAUACAUGCAAGUCGAGCGAACUGAUUAGAAGCUUGCUUCUAUGACGUUAGCGGCGGACGGGUGAGUAACACGUGGGCAACCUGCCUGUAAGACUGGGAUAACUUCGGGAAACCGAAGCUAAUACCGGAUAGGAUCUUCUCCUUCAUGGGAGAUGAUUGAAAGAUGGUUUCGGCUAUCACUUACAGAUGGGCCCGCGGUGCAUUAGCUAGUUGGUGAGGUAACGGCUCACCAAGGCAAGAUGCAUAGCCGACCUGAGAGGGUGAUCGGCCACACUGGGACUGAGACACGGCCCAGACUCCUACGGGAGGCAGUAGUAGGGAAUCUUCCACGAUG
rnacentral:rRNA from 1 species